UACGGGGGGGGCAAGCGUUGUUCGGAAUUACUGGGCGUAAAGGGCGCGUAGGCGGCCUACUAAGUCGGACGUGAAAUCCCUCGGCUCAACCGAGGAACUGCGUCCGAUACUGGCAGGCUGGAAUCCGGGAGAGGGAUGUGGAAUUCCAGGUGUAGCGGUGAAAUGCGUAGAUAUCUGGAGGAACACCGGUGGCGAAGGCGGCAUCCUGGACCGGUAUUGACGCUGAGGCGCGAAAGCUAGGGGAGCAAACAGG
rnacentral:rRNA from 1 species